UGAAUUUGUUUAAAAAACCUUAAAUUGCCUUUUUUACGUUUAACCGAUUUAUCGUAUUUGUCAGUGGCCAGAUAAGGUGAAUGAACAGCAACGUCAUCAAUAGUUUUCUUGUUUAAAUAGAAUAUACAUAUGCAGUUCCUACCGUUCAAAAUCCAUUCAAAUUUUGGGAAUGUCAAGGAAAUGUACCUUAUUAUUAUAUAUAUUUAUCAUAUAACUGAUAUACACAAAUAGAGGAAUCGACUUGUACACACCGAAUAGAAAUCUGGGAAUCAACUAGUACAUAAAGUAAGUCUCGGAAAUCAAGUCACCAACACCGAACAGGAUUUCUAGUAGUUCUAAAAACCACAUUGGUUUUUUUUAGACGCUAUCAUUCGUUAGCUAAGUGUUAACAUUUUGUACGAUGCUUAAGAUAUAAAGCUAAAACCUCAUGUAUGCAUACGAGUAUAAUAUGAAAUAGACUCGCAGGCUCGUAUAAAACUUUGGAGGUGAAAUUUCAGAAUUUUAAAACCCGCAAUAAGAAAAACGAAUUUAUAAAAAAAUCGCUAGUAAAUUCUACACGUAAAACCUAUCCCGAGUUUUCUCAGGUUUUUAUAAUGGUUUCCUAAAAUAGUCUUAAUGAGCCCAUUUCAGAUCUUUCAUUUAAAUCAAUUCUACACUUCUAUUUUAAUAAAAAUACCGUCACUGUAGCAUUUGCCAACUCUGUCUUUCUAAUGGACAAGAUAAAUCAAAAUUGAAAUUACGUAAAACAAGCGAAAAGGCUG